ACACAUGCAAGUCGAACGGUAGAGGGGGCAACCCUGAGAGUGGCGAACGGGUGAGUAAUAUAGUCGGAACGUGCCAGUCGUGGGGGAUAACGUAGCGAAAGUUACGCUAAUACCGCAUACGAUCUACGGAUGAAAGCGGGGGACCGUAAGGCCUCGCGCGAUUGGAGCGGCCGAUAUCAGAUUAGGUAGUUGGUGGGGUAAAGGCUCACCAAGCCAACGAUCUGUAGCUGGUCUGAGAGGACGACCAGCCACACUGGAACUGAGACACGGUCCAGACUCCUACGGGAGGCAGCAGUGGGUAAUUUGGACAAUGGACGAAAGUCUGAUCCAGCCAUUCCGCGUGCAGGAUGAAGGCCCUCGGGUUGUAAACUGCUUUUGUACGGAACGAAAAGGUUUCUCUUAAUACGAGGAGCUCAUGACGGUACCGUAAGAAUAAGCACCGGCUAACUACGUG
rnacentral:rRNA from 1 species